UCCAGCAGAGACAGCAACCGC
rnacentral:misc_RNA from 1 species